UACGUAGGGGGCAAGCGUUGUCCGGAUUUAUUGGGCGUAAAGAGCUCGUAGGUGGUUCGGUAAGUCGGAUGUGAAAUCUCCAGGCUCAACCUGGAGGGGUCAUUCGAUACUGCCGUGACUAGAGGUCGGUAGGGGAGUGUGGAAUUCCUGGUGGAGCGGUGAAAUGCGCAGAUAUCAGGAGGAACACCCGUAGCGAAGGCGGCACUCUGGGCCGAUACUGACACUGAGAGCGAAGGCGUGGGUAGCAAACAGG
rnacentral:rRNA from 1 species